CUGGCCCCCAAAGUUCAAAAACGUUUGAAGUAGUAGGGGUGUGGCCUUCCAAUAAGCUCACCCGUGAUUGGUGAGAGCAGUUGCCAUAGAAACGUUGACUGACUUGGACCAAUCACUGCUCACUGACGAGGUCUGGCUCCUGUGUGACGGUGACCAUAGGGUGAAAAAAAGCAACUGAAUUCAUUUCUUUUGGUUGGAUCUGGUGGUCUAACGAUCUGUUAGAUCUUUAUUUAGCCUUUAUUUUGAAAAAAACUUUAGGGGAAACCGGUCUAAAGUUUCAGAAAAUGUGUUUUUGUGACUGGUAAAAACAGUCACAAGUUUUUGAUAAUCCUAAUUUUUUCUUUUUUUUUCUGCUGAUCCUCAACGUUCAACAACAUUCCUUUAGCCUGCUUUUAAAAAGGUAGGGUUGUGGCCUUCCAAUCAGCUAACUUCUGAUUGGUGAGAGUGGUUGCCAUAGAAACGUUGAGUCAGAACAACCUGGACCAAUCUCUGCUCACUGACAAAGUCGGUAUCCUAUGUGGCGACGAACAUAGUGUGAAAAAACGGGUAGUACAGAUAUAUGGGGGGACUGACAAAACUGAAAAUAUGAUGUAAUUUCGGAGUGCUUAUCCGCUGUGUAGAUAGGAACAUUUCACAGGUAGGAAGGAUUUACAGAACACAGAAGAAAGUCAUUUUUAAUGGAUGAUGUCUCACUCGAUCUGUCCAGAUGGGUUGAUAAAAUUCAUCUGAAACGCUCAGAAUUGAUGUCUCAGGGUCCAUCUGCCCCCAGGAUCCGGUCUGGACCGGAGAGCAGUUUCAGAGGGACGAGCAGCCCGGUUCUGGCUGCCGGGAUGAACCCGUGCAGUCUGAUGGGGUCGGCUGGCGUCCCUCGGUGCUCUUCGUUCUGGGAUUUGGGACUCAACCCUUUCCACGGCGGAGGAGCUGCAGGCGGAGCUGCUGAGGGCCUCGGAGGCUGCAGGCACCAGAUGUUCGGUGCGACACGUCUCCCAGCGCCGCUCGGCUGCCAGCUUCCUCCACCUCGCCAUCCUCCCACCUCUCUGAUUGACGGUCUGCCCCGUGCUCCGCUCUGCGUCUCGCAGAAGAAAAGCCUCGGGCUGUUUUUCUCUCAGAACUGGAAAAAUUGGGAUUUUCUUUCUGGGUCCUCUUAAUGCAGAAUUCUUCUCCCUCCCCAUGCAUGUCCUGGAGACGUAUUUGCUGUUGGUACAAUUUUCCAGUUUCUUUCUUCACCCUCUCUUGUUGACUGAGGAUGCUACAAGCUGAGGAUGGUGUGUUAGUGUGGAAUGGGGGGGGUUCAGAAAGCAUGAGCUAACACCAACCUUAAGGCCAGAAUCCUACGGUUUGAUUCCUUCUGCUGCAUAAACUCUGAGGGAGAUCUGAGCCAAACAAGAAGUGUUUUAUUGAAUAAAUAAAUCUGUUUUUUUCUGCUUCUGUAAAA